ensembl:lncRNA
CCUAAGGGGGCGGUGUUGCAAUCUACUGCAGAGAUAGCAUGCAGAGUUCUGUCCUACUGUCCAGGUCUUGAAUGACUGGGAGACACUCCCCGGCCAUGAACAUUGUUCCCAUAUCUGACGCCUCACCAGCUAUAGUAUGUUGACAAGGGCCAAAGGGGCCCCUAGUGCUGAGGCCUGGGGUUCCACAGGAUCCACAGGGACCGUACAGGAGGGUCCACAGGGCCGGCAGACAUCCAUCACCAAUCCGCCCAAAGCUACCAUGAUGGUCCAGACCAGAGCUCCAGAGGAGACCGUUCACUAUCAAACUCACCUCAUCAACGUGAAGGAAUCAAAUGUUUACAUGGGUGUUUAUUGAAUAAUGUUCUUAUAACUAGAUUUUUAAAAAUAGUUUCUUAUGUUUUUUUCUUAAUGGACAGCACUGGAAAACUAAUACCAAUGGUUAGAUUUGUUUGCUCAAAAAGGAAAACAGGGAUUAAAAAACAAACAUUUUCUACACUGACUAUAUUGCAGUUUUCCAGAUGAAAAAGGCAUCUCCUGAGAAGGUGUGGAAAGUUUUAAAAUGUAAGAUCAGCAGAGCAGCAUGAGGCACAAAAAGGGAAACUUAAUGUGAGGGCCAGGUCUAAGGAAUGUGGUUUAUUCAUGUAAACCAGAGGUUCUUCUAGCUUUUCCCAGAAGCUAGAGUUCCUCUCAGGACAAACUUUGCUCUCUCGCUCUCUGUGUGUGUAAAGGGCUUAAUUGACAUGGGAUAUGUAUGUUUACAUUGCCAAAGCAAGUGAAAUAGAUAAUAAACAAAAGUUAAAUAAUCAAUCAAAAAUUAACAGUAAACAUUACACUCACAAGUUUCAAAGGAAUAGACACAUUUGAAAUGUCUUAUGGCUAUGUACAGUGUUAGAACGAUGUGCAAAAUAGUUAAAGUAGAAAAGGGAAAAUAAAUAAACAAAUAUGGGUUGUAUUUACAAUGGUGUUUGUUCUUGUUCUCCCCUUUCUUGUGGCAACAGGUCACAAAUCUUGCUGCUGUGAUGGCACACUGUGGUAUUUCACCCAAUAGAUGGGAGUUUAUCAAAAUUGGAUUUGUUUUUGAAUUCUAUGUCUCUCUAAAGUUGUCAUACAUUAGGCAGGAGGUUAGGAAGUGCAGCUCAGUUUCCACCUCAUUUUGUGGGCAGUUUUCUCUUGAGAGCCAAGUCUCUCAAUAGCAAAGCCAUGCUCACUGAGUCUGUACAUAGUCAACGCUUUCCUUUAUUUUGGGUCAGUCACAGUGGUCAGGUAUUCUGCCACUGUGUACUCUCUGUUUAGGACCAAAUAACAUUCUAGUUUGCUCAGUUCCUUUCUUAAUUCUUAUUAAUGUAUCAAUAUUCUUAUCAAUGUAUCAUAUUUGUUUCUCAUGAUUUGGUUGGGUCUAAUUGUGCUGCUGUCCUGGGGCUCUGUGGGGUCUGUUUAUGUUUGUGAACAGAGCCCCUGGACCAGCUUGCUUAGGGGACUUUUCUCUAGGUUAACCUCUCUGUAGGUGAUGGCUUUGGUAUGGAAGGUUUGGGAAUCGCUUCCUUUUAGGUGGUUGUAUAAUUGAACACUUCCUUUUUGGAUUUGGAUAAUUAGCAGGUAUCGGCCUAAUUCUGCUCUGCAUGCAUUAUUUGGUGAUUUACAUUGUACACAGAUAAUGUUUUUGCAGAAUUCUGUUUGCAGUGUCAAUUUGGUC